UUCUCUAGGAGACAGUCAAGGGGCAGGACGUGAAGUGGUUGCACACUUGGUUCAAGCGAGCGAAAUGGUCGCAAACUUACAGAAUGGCGGAAAUCAUUGCGUGUUCGCUUGCUGUUUUGUCAGAUCUUUUCAGGUCUAAAUGCUAUGAUCAUCAGACGUAAUUAUGACCCGAGAGCAUGAACAUGAAUCUUCAUUAGUUGAACAAACUACGCUAACACGUAUAUCAGAAAUGACCGUUAGAGAUCACGAGUUUAACCGAGGGAAAGGAAGCAUACCAAAGUAUAGAACAUUAAGAAAAUUGAAUGAUAUACCAAGGGGUGUUCGGCCACUUAAGUCACUUUACAGAGUUGAUGAGUCCACUAAGACUAUAUUUUGAGCGAACUCACAAAUUAAAAUACAGCGCAACAGUUACGCUGUAUACAGUGGAUUGAAAUUGAUAAAUUAUAACAAGAAAAUGUUCGGCUGCGAUUAAAUCCGUCUUCUCUGAAAAUAAACAAACAUAAUUAUGAUGUUUUCUGUUGAUUGCCACCACAAAUUUAAAUGCCAAAUCUACUGUUUUCAAUUUUGCCUUAAUAAAAUUGCUUGUGUCCAAGAUUACAUCUUUUUGGAUACCGUGCAACUUGGAUUUUGCCUUUUCCGAAGUUGUUUGUGGUAUGUCUUUCUGUUUAAAACCAUUCAAUUUUCCAACCAGAAACUUUAAACGACAAAAUUAAGCACGUGACAAAAUGAUAAGAAUUACAUUCAUGUUUCAGCAGAUGUUACACUGUAACAUAGAUGAGUUAAACAUUUUAUUUCAGUUUUACUCUCAUUGUACAUCGUCCAUGUGUUUUAGUGUUAGUAUUGAAUUAUUUAUUGUUUUGAUACACAGUAGUAUGACUUAUAAGAUAUUCAAAGACGACUAUUUAUGUUUCAGAAACAAAAUAUGAACUAUGCCGCAUGUCCGUAAAGGGGUAUUUUACAUGUAUCUUAUCACCAAUAUUGUUUCGUAUUAUGAUCAUGUUAUAUCGACAUAAGAUUGUGCAGGUGGAUAAACAACUAUUAUAACUUCUAAUGAGCUCAAAACAUUUUGCAUCAUAAUCAUAUCUUAAGACUGGGAUAUAUUUUUGUACAAUUAAUCUAGAAAUGUAACAUAAAGCGUACAUUUAUGUCAUUAUGUUAUUACAUCACUGUUGUAUAUAAAUGUGUUGUGUUUUUUUUCUAUCAAAACUACCUGUACUAAUAUUUUAC
rnacentral:lncRNA from 1 species